GCGGUUUUAAUUAUCGGCCCUUUUCAGUCCGCCAUAUUAGAUUAGAUCUGCGAAGUGUUGGAGCUAAAGUUGGGGCAGACUACAAUGAGCAGCGUUCUAUGGAGGAGUUUGCGUGUUCCGUUGACGAGGCGUUUGGUACGUCAAGCUGGUGACCAUCCUACGGCAGAAGAACUUGGUCUCAAGGGAUGGCAAGUCUACUUUAACAGCUACACUAUUGAUGGUCGACGCAAUUUGGUAUUUGCAGUCUAUGGAACUUUGUUUGGAAUCUAUGGACUUUACAAGCUGACCAGAAAGGACAACAAAGAGGCUCCAGAAAAGACUCCAGAAAAAUAACUGCAGCAAAAAAAAUUCAUCUUUUGACCUCUGUAAUUUAUCAUGUUAGGGUUUUCAUUUACAUUGAGGGACCACAGAUCUUAUGAUCCACUGAUGUGAAGUUUGUCAAAUGCAUUUGAUAUGCUAAUAAAAUUGGAUUGAUGUUUUUGAAAUAAAAUAGCUGGAGUGUUCU